rnacentral:rRNA from 1 species
GACGAACGCUGGCGGCGUGCCUAAUACAUGCAAGUAGAACGCUGAAGAGAGGAGCUUCCUCUUCUUGGAUGAGUUGCGAACGGGUGAGUAACGCGUAGGUAACCUGCCUUGUAGCGGGGGAUAACUAUUGGAAACGAUAGCUAAUACCGCAUAACAAUGGAUGACACAUGUCAUUUAUUUGAAAGGGGCAAUUGCUCCACUACAAGAUGGACCUGCGUUGUAUUAGCUAGUAGGUGAGGUAAUGGCUCACCUAGGCGACGAUACAUAGCCGACCUGAGAGGGUGAUCGGCCACACUGGGACUGAGACACGGCCCAGACUCCUACGGGAGGCAGCAGUAGGGAAUCUUCGGCAAUGGGGGCAACCCUGACCGAGCAACGCCGCGUGAGUGAAGAAGGUUUUCGGAUCGUAAAGCUCUGUUGUAAGUCAAGAACGGGUGUGAGAGUGGAAAGUUCACACUGUGACGGUAGCUUACCAGAAAGGGACGGCUAACUACAUG